rnacentral:sRNA from 1 species
GAGGCUAGGUCUCUCCGCCGCGCGUCCUGAGGAGUGGCUUUUGGCCCCUCAGCGUUUAUUGACCGUUUGCGGAGCGUCUGCAGUGUGCUAGACCCACACUGCUCACAACCCCAGCUCCCCAACCUCCCCUGACACACACCGCGGGAAGAAGUCGUUUGAGGCAUCUGAGCUUCAGAGAAGUUAAGCGAUUUACCAAAGGCAAUGGCAGGGGACAGAUUUGAAUUCACGUUUCUUAGAUUCCAGAGCGCAGGCUUUUUGCUCCCAAAACAGCAAGACAGUUUUCUAGGUUUAAAUGGAAUAAUCAAAAUAAAGCAUUUUUUUUUUUAUUUUUUAUUUUUUGAGACGGAGUCUCGUUCUGUCACCCAGGCUGGAGUGCAGUGGCGCAAUUUCGGCUCACUGCAACUUCCGUCUUGCGCGUUACAGUGAUUCUCCUGCCUCAGCCGCUUGAGUAGCUGGGAUAACAGGCGUGCACCACCACGCCCAGCUAAUUUUUGUGUUUUUAGUAGAGACGGGGUUUCACCAUGUUGGCCAGGCUGCUCUCGAACUCUUGACCUCAGGUGACCCGAACGCCUGGCCUCCCAAAGUGCUGGGAUUACAGGCGUGAGCCACCGCUCCCGGCACAAAGUAAAACAUUUCACCUAAGGACUGGCACAGAGCGUACGCUUAGAUGUGAGCUGCUCAAAGGAAGCAUGGGUUGUUUCCUGAAGUAGAAGUGGGGGGAAUCCCCUGCAGAAGAACGCAACCGAGAGGGGCCUUGGGAAAUAGCAAGGAUUUGGACAGAUAAAGACGUGGGAGAGGCCACCUCCCAGGCCCUGCCAGCCUUCACGACAGAAAUCCACGAAGCGUCUGAAGGGCCAGGUGCAGAUGAGGUGCAGGUGUUCGCUCCUGCCAACGCCCUGCCCGCUCGGAGUGAGGCGGCAGCUGUGCAGCCAGUGAUUGGGAUCAGCCAGCGGGUGCGGAUGAACUCCAAAGAGAAAAAGGACCUGGGAACUCUGGGCUACGUGCUGGGCAUUACCAUGAUGGUGAUCAUCAUUGCCAUUGGAGCUGGCAUCAUCUUGGGCUACUCCUACAAGAGGGGGAAGGAUUUGAAAGAACAGCAUGAUCAGAAAGUAUGUGAGAGGGAGAUGCAGCGAAUCACUCUGCCCUUGUCUGCCUUCACCAACCCCACCUGUGAGAUUGUGGAUGAGAAGACUGUCGUGGUCCACACCAGCCAGACUCCAGUUGACCCUCAGGAGGGGAGCACCCCCCUUAUGGGCCAGGCCGGGACUCCUGGGGCCUGAGCCCCCCCAGUGGGCAGGAGCCCAUGCAGACACUGGUGCAGGACAGCCCACCCUCCUACAGCUGGGAGGAACUACCACUUUGUGUUCUGGUUAAAACCCUACCACUCCCCCCCUUUUUUGGUGAAUCCUAGUAAGUGACAGAAGCAGGUGGCCCUGUGGGCUGAGGGUAAGGCUGGGUAGGGUCCUAACAGUGCUCCUUCUCCAUCCCUUGGAGCAGAUUUUGUCUGUGGAUGGAGACAGUGGCAGCUCCCACAGUGAUGCUGCUGCUAAGGGCUUCCAAACAUUGCCUGCACCCCUGGAACUGAACCAGGGAUAGACGGGGAGCUCCCCCAGGCUCCUCUGUGCUUUACUAAGAUGGCCUCAGUCUCCACUGUGGGCUUGAGUGGCAUACACUGUUAUUCAUGGUUAAGGUAAAGCAGGUCAAGAGAUGGCACUGAAAAAAUAUAUUUAGUUUUAAAAAUAUUUGGGAUGGAACUCCCUACUGACCUCUGAGAACUGGAAACGAGUUUGUACAGAAGUCAGAACUUUGGGUUGGGAAUGAGAUCUAGGUUGUGGCUGCUGGUAUGCUUCAGCUUGCUGGCAAUGAUGUGCCUUGACAACCGUGGGCCAGGCCUGGGCCCAGGGACUCUUCCUGUUUCAUAAGGAAAGGAAGAAUUGCACUGAGCAUUCCACUUAGGAAGAGGAUAGAGAAGGAUCUGCUCCGCCUUUGGCCACAGGAGCAGAGGCAGACCUGGGAUGCCCCAGUUUCUCUUCAGGGAUGGAUAGUGACCUGUCUUCAUUUUGCACAGGUAAGAGAGUAGUUAGCUAACCUAUGGGAAUUAUACUGUGGGGCCUUGUGAGCUGCUUCUAAGAGGCUAACCUGGAAACUAAGCUCAGAGGCAAGGUAAUAAAGCACUUCAGGGCUUGCUCCCGAAGUGGGCCUGAUUUAGCAGGUGGUCCUGCGGGCAUCCAGGUCAGCACCUUCCUGUAGGGCAAUGGGGCUAGGGUCACAGCCCCUAACUCAUAAAGCAAUCAAAGAACCAUUAGAAAGGGCUCAUUAAGCCUUUUGGACACAGGGCCCCAGAGAGGAAAAAGUGACUUGCCCAAGGUCGUAAGCAAGCUACUGGCAUGGCAAGAGCCCAGCUUCCUGACUGAGUGCAACAUUUCUCCACUGCACUGUGCUAGCAGCUCAGCAGGGCCUCUAACCUGUGAUGUCACACUCAAGAGGCCUUGGCAGCUCCUAGCCAUAGAGCUUCCUUUCCAGAACCCUUCCACUGCCCAAUGUGGAGACGGGGGUUAGUGGGGCUUUCUAUGGAGCCAUCUGCUUUGGGGACCUAGACCUCAGGCGGUCUCUUGGUGUUAGUGAUGCUGGAGAAGAGAAUAUUACUGGUUUCUACUUUUCUAUAAAGGCAUUUCUCUAUAUACA